AUAUUUUUUAUAAUAAUUAUUAUAAAAUCUUAUAUUAUUAUAUUAUAUUAUACAUUUUUUAACAUCGAGAUGGAGAAGGAGAGGAACCAGAUCCGCUUCGAGAUGCGAGGUCUGCUGGUGAACAAUGAAGAUCUGCUGCGGACGAACACACAGAUGCAGGGCGAGACGAACCGGCUGCGGGAGAAGAUCGUGGAGUUAGAGAGCAACAACAAUGUCCUGCAGGAGCGCUUCAGACAGAUGGAGGUACAAACACCACAUACAACACCCUAAACACACGCCGUCAGCAGAGCCGUGAUCCUCAUCAUCAACACGCCUGUGUCUGUGUGUGUCUGUCUGUGUGUGUCUGUGUGUCUGUGUCUGUGUCUGUGUCUGUGUAGGCGCGGGAGGUGAUGGUCGAAGCAAACACUCAGGAAUACGCCUUUAACUUCCUGCAGCAGACGCUCAAGAACAAAAUACAGGACACUGAGGAAGCUCUGGAGAAACAAGCUCAACACGCUCAGACUGUGUCAGAAAAACUGUGGCUCACCGAGAGAAACCUGGAGGAGCUGGAGCUGGAGAAAGAAACUAAAGCAAAGAAAACUCUAGAACUCAGUAGCACUGUUUUCAGACUGGAGACAGAGGUACACACACACACAGACACUCACACAGACACUCACACAGACACACACACAGAGUUACACACACACACACACACUCAGGCACACAACACACACACACACACUCAGACACACAACACACACACCACACACUCAUACAACACACAACACACACACACACACACUCAGACACACAGACACACACACACGAAAGACCAGGAGCUGCUGCGCCUCACACAGAUCGUCAGCAGACUGCAGGGAGAGGUCCGAUUAAUGCACAUUCAUAUCUGCAGGAAAUUAAAUUCAUCAUCAAAGACACAUUAAAUUGUUAAAAAGUGACAGUAGAGACAUUUAUAAUGUUACAAAAGACACACUCACACUCACACUCACACUCACACUCACACACACACACAGACACAGAAACACACACUCUCACACACACACACACUCAGACACACACACACUCACACACACGUUUGGCUUGUAGGUGUUUUAAACAUAAUUUAAU
rnacentral:lncRNA from 1 species